AUGCAGCUGAAGAGUCCCAAAUAGGAUGAAAAUUGCCUCCUGGAU
rnacentral:hammerhead_ribozyme from 1 species